rnacentral:ncRNA from 1 species
AAAAUGGCUAUGACAAAGAGAAGUAGUACAAAUUAUCGUUUCCAGUGAGCAAAGGAUAGUGAGAACUUUGUAAAGUGAAUUUGUAUGAAUAACACUUUCGAGCUGCAAUCCGAACGAGUUUUUUAGUAGGUGCGACGUAGUUGCGCGUUAAGCAACAGGUUUAAGACCAAUGAGUGACUGUGAAACAGUAAAUCGGGUGGUACCGCGGACAUAGAUAAGUUCGCCCUGAAU